AAGAAGCAUUAUCUUAAUUUACCCUUCAGUCUUUUUUUCACCCUUAAUCUUGAAGCAAAUAAAUGCCCUUUGCUGAUGUUUUCCAUUUUCCUGAAACUCAGUUUUGCUCUUCUUGCAUUUAAAACCAAGAACAACAACAACAAAUACUAAACAGACUUCUCCAAAAAGUCUAGCCCACCACAGUUGCUAACAAUAGUAUUGAUAGAUACCCGGUAGCAGUUUUGGCUAAAACAAGCCUGUAAACCAUAUAAUCAGUGUGUUUUAUGGAUUGCAUUUAUCACUGACAUUUUCCCCUUCCUUCAGUUGCAGGGUCCUGUCCCCUUCAGCUGCCUUCUGGACAUCGCUGCCUCUCUGGUAGAACAGCAGAACAGAUGUUAACUACUGCUGCUGCUCUCUGUAAAUAGCUCACUUUCUGUAGUGGCUCAUCCACCUUCUGGCUGACCAGAAAAGCAAUCUGAUAACGGUUAUAAUGCCAUCCUCAAAGCCAUCCUUCAAAUGUGUGGAGUGGGAGAAGUGAAGGGUAUGCAACAGACAGGUGGUGUGGAGACCCUGGAUGCAGCUGCUGCAGCAAGUAUCCCACAGGCAAGGACCAGAGGUUGCCUGUCAUUGGGAUGUGGGGGUCUUCCUCCAUCCCAAGCAUAUAGAAUUACAUGUCACAGGACUUGCACUGUGAUUGCUUGGUAACAGUAGAUCAGAAAAUAUUGUGUGUCUUUCACAUUGAAGUGAAAACAUGUGAGUCCUGUCACAAAGCAUUCUGACCACAUGCCAGCAUCAUAGAAGCCUCAUUCUGGUGCCUGUCAUUGCUGCAUCAUCUGGGCAUUUUCAUUCAUUCUAAGCAUUUGUUAUUUUAAUCUUAAAAUGCCCCUCUGCAAUUCAGUUGAGAUAUUUCUGUUUUCAAUAAUACGUUUUCCAUAAUGCUUUCCUUCCUCCUUCAGACCUCUCUGAAAUCAAGCACUGCAGUCCACUGACAUGUUGACAGUUUUACGUGAAUUAAUGAAAAAGGAGUUGGAAGUGACUGACAAAGAUUUGUUUAUUAUUAUUAAACUGACUGUGAAUCUCAGUUGCUCUACUGAAAAGAAAAUUAAGAAAAGGAGGAAUUGAAAAAAAGUAUCAAUCCACAAUGUAUGAUUAAGAAUAUAUUCUAUUCUUCAAUUUAUAAUGAAUAAUUUUAAGAAUUAAGGCUGCUGCCUGGAGGCAGAAAUCCUUGUUCUGAAUUGUACUCAUAACUGCUUAAUGGUAUGGCUAAUAUGCUGAGAGGAAGUGAAAAUGGAUAUUUCAACACUGAGAAAAAUACUAGCUCAAAGUUGGGCCUUUAAUGGAAAAAGGAAAAUAUGAAUCAUCUUGGUAACAAACAAGAAGAUACAAGAUGAAAAGGUACUUGCUGGAUAAUUUCUUAUCUACUUUUAUUCAGGUAAAAAGCUGAAAUACAGAAGUCUAAGAAUCACAUUAGUGACACCUCAUCUUUUUGGAGCAACGCUCUGUGGAAUGUGUUAGCUUCUUACCGUAUUCCAUCAGGCUUAUGCUCUCAUCAUCUGCACACACUCCUGUUUCACACCCAUGUUUCCUUUAACACUUCAGCCUUCCCCAUCCCCUCAGUGUUUGGCUUUGCCUGAUCUGUAGUAACAGCGAAGCCUGGUACUCACCAGGACUGGACUCAUGGUGCAGGCCAGCUCAAACAAGGCUGCUUCCUCUUUCUGUUUUCCUGCCCAGAGAGGCCAGCCAACCAAAGAUGAAAUUCCUCCAUUCCUGGAACAUCUGGCUGAGCCUCUCAAUGCUCAUAAUUAUCCUCCCACUCCCAGCUCUCUGCAGGUGCAGGGAAGUGUAGUGAAGGUUCUGUGGGAGCACAGCUUUACAGUGGGUAAGUUCACCUAUAAAUCUCAAGUAAAUGCAUGCCAUCUGAUUUAAUAUACAUUUUUGGUUUUAUAAUUUUUGCUGACAGAGGAUCUCACUGAUAAAAUGCCAGGUGGAAUAAUAUCAGUUAAGAAACUUACGGCAAAACUUCCAAACUUUCAGUGAGUGCAGAACUGUGUAUUGCCAUCAAAAUCUACAUCUCAACAUCAUAUGCUGCCUUAUCACUAAUGCCUUUACCAUCUGCCUACCCUCAUUCACUUCUUAUCCCUUCUCUCAACACAGGCUCUCAUUUCUCAGCUGCUUUUUAGUCUUCACUCACUGCUCCUCCAUCAGUCAGCCACUUGCUGCACUCAUCUCACACAGAAACCCCAGGAAAACCUUCCCGUGCAUUCCCUAGCAGGGGAUGCUCUUGUAGUCCAAAUGUGAAUGUUGCCAGAGCCACAAUCUGUUCCUUGUUUAGCUCAGCACAGUGCACCUAAACAGAUGGUGAGUAAUGGCAUGCAAUGCCUACUUAUCUUUUGUGCUUUCCUCCAUAUGGUUCCUGUAUUAGGGCUGGAAACAAACUGAAGGAGGUAGUAUGAAUAGGAAAUGAAUUCCAUUAAGCUCCACAAAGUUGCUGUUAAAAAUUGCUGUGUUUUUUGUACUGAUACAAGAGUGGCUGAGUCAUUUCAGACCUGAGAUGUGAAUAUGCAGCUCCCCUGAUGUUCAUAGGUUUGCAACUACCUGUAUCACAUAAAAAUGUUAUGGUAUGGUGCAUCAGCUUGCAAGCCACUUGAGCACACUCUUCAGUUUCUCAUUUUCUCAUUAAAAUAAUCUCAAAGUAAGCAUAAGAUCUUGCUGCAUUAAUAUAUAUUUAAAUGUUCUGACAUGAUGCAGGACUACACAGUCCUAGAAAUGAAUAAUGUUGCUUGCUCCUUUUGGUGGUGGUGGUAGAUAAUAUUUAAAGACAUGAAACAACCUGAUAUUAAAAAGGAAUGUGUUUAGAUCAUCUUAGAUUUAGCUAUAUAUUAGGGGGCUGCUUAAAAAUGUCAAAAUUUUAGGAUUUAGAAUAGCAUUCUCAAAAGAAGCCUAUAAAGGUUUAUGAGUAUAGCUGUCACUACAAGCUGUAGCAUUCAGUGAAACAACUUCCUAAAUACCUAAAGGCCAGAAUUACUUUACAGCUAUUCUUGGUGUAUUAAUUUCUCAGUCACUUGGUGCCAAAUCCCCAAGAGAGAGCUACAACACGAGAGAUGCACAACAUACAGCAAGAACGUACCAUCCAGCAGCAGCCCUGCAAAUAGGGACAAGGGAGAAGCUCAUCCACACGGGAAUCAGCUAACCGUGGGGACAGGGACAGCACUCCAGCCCCUUCACACUGAGGCAGAGCUUUUCUGAUGGACUCGAGUCUGCAUUUGCAUGCCUCACUUUCUCAUAGUUCAGCUUUGUUUCAUGACUUGUUUGUACAACAAAGACCUUCCAGUGAUAGUAACCACGAAGCUUCACGGUUUCAUCUUGUUUAAAGUCUAAGGGAAACCUCUACCAUUAUUAAGAGAGAUGGUUCUUCGGGUAGAAAAUGGAAAUGUUUUGCCAGAAUAGACACUUCCAAGAAAACCUUCCUGAAUGUACUUUAUUUAUGGCAGUAAAUUCUAUCAGUGGUAGCUCUUCACUAUCUGGGAAAUACUUGCACAAAGCUGAGGAGUGUGAGACAUGGAUCAUUGCAUCUUCUGAACAGAAUCAUAACCAAGGGACAUAAUAUUUAUUUCUAUUUACUUUUUAAUAUACCAGAGCUUCACCUCUGGACUCUCAUUCUUUUUAAUACAACAGGAAAAUGACAUCUAAAUACAUUGCUCUGAUAACCUAAUGAUGUGAAAACAUUUCUGUUUUCUUUGGGUUAUUGUAAGAUUUCUUUUCAUUAUAAGGAGCCUGACUUCACAAGUGCUGAAAAGCCCACAACCCCAGGACUUCAGUGAAGUCUUGAGCUGUUCACUUUCUUCAGGGGCACAGACAGCCUUCCCAGAAGGUCUCUUCACCAGAAAAGCAAGAUAGGAUUUUCUGUUGCCUGUAACUAUUUGUUCAAGACAUUGCUUGAGAUGUUCUUACCUGUCAAUAGCCACCUGGUAGAAUAAUAUCACGAAUAAUGAACUACAACCAACAACUUUUGCGUUUUUUGGUCAGUACAUGAGAAGUCUCCAAAACAGGAAGUGUUACUUGUCUUCUGUGGAACCCAGCUUCUGCUUGGCUCAUCACCUACAGCCUUAAAUGACUGCUGCCUUUUCGUUGAAGACCUUUAGAAACAGUAUGUGCAAAACACCUGUAGAUAGUCAGGAGAUGAAUAAGAGACAAUUACUUCAUUUAAUUCAGGAAAGUCAAAAAGCAUUUGCAGUCAUUACUCACAUGGUACAGAGCUCAAUAUUCAGCAUCUUGGUACUGUGGACAAGUGAACUGAUACAAGUUUGAGUGUGCUUUGAGGAAAUCUAGAGGUUAUUAUUUUUAAGUAAUAAUAAUAGUAAUAAUAAAAAUCUCCCUGAUGUGGAAAUUGAGACAUCAAGAAAAAAAACAAUCCACAUAUUUGAGAUCAGUAAGCCUCAGCAAAUGCCUUGAGGCUGUUUGGUGCCUAUCACACGAGGCUGGAAAGGUGCUGCCGAUGGCAAAGUUUGCCAGCUUCAGGCAAACUCAGCUGGUGGUGGCCCUGAUCCUCAGUGAAGCCCACCACUCCUCACAGUUUGCCAACAUCAGGGAUCCAGACAGCAAAGCUCAGCGAGAUAUUUCAGUCACAACAACUGGGAUUGCAGCAAGGGUUUUUCUCUUGCUGGUAGGGUCCAACCACCACUAUAUGUGCUAUUCCAAAGCUGUUCCAUUAAAUUAACCUAGAAUGUGUCCAGCUAAAAAAAAAAUAAAAAAUGGUGCAAAAAUAACAAAGGGGAGGUAAAUUAAGAUUUCAGUGAAUGACAAAGGUUUGAUCUAUUUGAACUGCAGCUGUUGGCAUGUGUUGUCAUCCAUUGGUGAGGCUGCACCUCCUGUACUAUGUUCAGUUUUGGGCCUCUCACUACAAGAAAGACAUUGAAGCCUUGGAGU